GACGAACGCUGGCGGCGUGCUUAACACAUGCCAGUCGAACGGAAAGGCCCUGCUUUUGUGGGGUGCUCGAGUGGUGAACGGGUGAGUAACACGUGAGUAACCUGCCCUUGACUUUGGGAUAACUUCAGGAAACUGGGGCUAAUACCGGAUAGGAGCUCCUGCUGCAUGGUGGGGGUUGGAAAGUUUCGGCGGUUGGGGAUGGACUCGCGGCUUAUCAGCUUGUUGGUGGGGUAGUGGCUUACCAAGGCUUUGACGGGUAGCCGGCCUGAGAGGGUGACCGGCCACAUUGGGACUGAGAUACGGCCCAGACUCCUACGGGAGGCAGCAGUGGGGAAUAUUGCACAAUGGGCGGAAGCCUGAUGCAGCAACGCCGCGUGCGGGAUGACGGCCUUCGGGUUGUAAUCCGCUUUCGCCUGUGACGAAGCGUGAGUGACGGUAAUGGGUAAAGAAGCACCGGCUAACUACGUG
rnacentral:rRNA from 1 species